CUGGGUAACCUCAGUGGGACAUGAACUAAUUCCAGAAAUCCCCUGUUUUCUCCUACUUGAGUAGCGCCAACAAAAACGUCUAAUUCCAGGCAGCCCUCCUCCAGAGCCAGGAGGCUGCCCAGGCCCACAGUCUUGGAGCCUGAUUACUGCUUUACUGUUUGCUUGGAGAGCAGGUGGAUGUUCUUCCCCCUCCCACCACUGCUUUGCUGUGAUCUGUCCUCUCUACAUGCUUGGGUGGAGUACAGGGUAAUGCUGAUUGCAGAGAGAUACCUCACCAGAGGCAGUCUGCUACCAAACCAGAUCCAGGGAAGCUGCUCACCAUUGGGUGCUGCUGGCCCCCAUGCAUGAAAGGAGCCAGGUACUGGAGAAGCAGCCUGUGCUUCAGUAGCCUAAUAAGCUGCAAGUGUCUACCAAGCAAGCCUAAGGUUAAAGACCUAACUCCCGGUACCUCAGAGUGUGACUAUAUUUGGAGGUGAAAGGAGCGACUAAGUUGGAGGGCCAGCAGAUAGCGUGGAAGUUGGAGCGCUGGACUACCACUUGGCUAGCUGCAGUUGAGUCCCUGACUUGGAGAGUUGCUUUCUCUGUGU